GUCAGUAGCGGCGAGCGAAAGCGCAAGAGGGCAAACCCAGUGCUUGCACUGGGGGUUGUAGGACUGCAAUAUGCAAGAGGUAAGUUUAGCAGAACAUUCUGGAAAGUAUAACCAUAGAGGGUGAUAGUCCCGUAUGCGAAAAACAAACCUUAGCUAGCAGUAUCCUGAGUAGGGCGGGACACGAGGAAUCCUGUCUGAAUCCGGGUCGACCACGAUCCAACCCUAAAUACUAAUACCAGAUCGAUAGUGCACAAGUACCGUGAGGGAAAGGUGAAAAGAACUGAGGUGAUCAGAGUGAAAUAGAACCUGAAACCAUUUGCUUACAAUCAUUCAGAGCCCUAUGUAGCAAUACAGGGUGAUGGACUGCCUUUUGCAUAAUGAGCCUGCGAGUUGUGGUGUCUGGCAAGGUUAAGCAAACGCGAAGCCGUAGCGAAAGCGAGUCUGAAUAGGGCGCUUAGUCAGAUGCUGCAGACCCGAAACGAAGUGAUCUAUCCAUGAGCAAGUUGAAGCUAGUGUAAGAACUAGUGGAGGACUGAACCCAUAGGCGUUGAAAAGCCCCGGGAUGACUUGUGGAUAGGGGUGAAAGGCCAAUCAAACUUCGUGAUAGCUGGUUCUCUCCGAAAUAUAUUUAGGUAUAGCGUUGUGUCGUAAUAUAAGGGGGUAGAGCACUGAAUGGGCUAGGGCAUACACCAAUGUACCAAACCCUAUCAAACUCCGAAUACCUUAUAUGUAAUCACAGCAGUCAGGCGGCGAGUGAUAAAAUCCGUCGUCAAGAGGGAAACAACCCAGACUACCAGCUAAGGUCCCUAAAUCUUACUUAAGUGGAAAACGAUGUGAAGUUACUUAAACAACCAGGAGGUUGGCUUAGAAGCAGCCAUCCUUUAAAGAAAGCGUAAUAGCUCACUGGUCUAGUGAUUUUGCGCGGAAAAUAUAACGGGGCUAAAGUAAGUACCGAAGCUGUAGACUUAGUUUAC
rnacentral:rRNA from 1 species